CACACGACUCUCGGCAACGGAUAUCUCGGCUCUCGCAUCGAUGAAGAACAUAGCGAAAUGCGAUACCUGGUGUGAAUUGCAUAAUCCCGCGAACCAUCGAGUCUUUGAACGCAAGUUGCGCCCGAGGCCACUCGGCCGAGGGCACGCCUGCCUGGGCGUCACGC
rnacentral:rRNA from 1 species